rnacentral:rRNA from 1 species
CACGAGCGCACCCUUGUCUCAUGUUGCCAGCGCGUUAUGGCGGGGACUCGUGAGAGACUGCCGGGGUCAACUCGGAGGAAGGUGGGGAUGACGUCAAGUCAUCAUGCCCCUUAUGUCCGGGGCUUCACACAUGCUACAAUGGCCGGUACAAAGGGCUGCGAUGCCGUGAGGCUUAGCGAAUCCUUUAAAGCCGGUCUCAUUUCGGAUCGGGGUCUGCAACUCGACCCCGUGAAGUCGGAGUCGCUAGUAAUCGCAGAUCAGCAACGCUGCGGUGAAUACGUUCCCGGGCCUUGUACACACCGCCCGU